UUAGAAGCAGCCAUUCAUUUAAAGAGUGCGUAACAGCUCACUAGUCAAGAGAUCUUGCGUGGAAAAUGUAACGGGGCUAAAACGUUAUACCGAAGAUAUGGAUUACACGCUAAGUACAAAGUUAAAGUUGUGUUACAAUCAAUUUAUGGAAAAUGAGAUUUACAUAGGUAGCGUUUAUAAACACUAUAAAGGCAAUAAGUAUGUUGUUGUAAGUAUAGCUGUUCAUACUGAGACGCUUGAAGAGCUUGUAGUUUAUCGAGCCAUUUAUGGCGACGGAGAAUUAUGGGCUAGACCUAAGAAAAUGUUUUUAGAUAAUAUUGAAAAGAACGGAAAGAUCAUUCCAAGGUUUAAAUUGAUUAAAAAACUUUGAUUUUGUUCUUAGUGUGUAGUGGUAGAGGAGCGUUCCUAUCAGCAGUGAAGUCGAAUCGGAAGGUUCGGUGGAGCGGUAGGAAGUGAGAAUGCUGGAAUGAGUAACCAUAAGAGAGGUGAGAAUCCUCUCGGCCGUAAGAGCAAGGUUUCCUGAGCCAUGGUAAUCAUCUCAGGGUUAGUCGGGCCUAAGCCGAGGCGCAGAGCGUAGGCGAUGGACAUCAGGUUAAUAUUCCUGAACCGGUUAAGUUUUGUACACUGUUCACGGGGAAGUAAUCGAAGCGGAUUCAUGGUUUAUCCGUCCAACCGAGCGGGAACGCAAAGGGAGUGAAAGUGAUUCUUCGGAGUCGCGAUUUUGGUGAAAGCCCUGGCUAGAAAAGCAGGUGUACGCGUGGACUUAGCCGCCCGUACCGCAAACCAACACAGGUGCUCGAGUCGAGUAGACUCAGGCUUACGAGCGAACCUUCGCUAAGGAACUCGGCAAUACAGCGACCGUAACUUCGGGAUAAGGUCUGCCCCCACUUCGGUGGAUAUCAGCCGCGUUCACUCAGUGAAUAUUAGGUUAAAGAGUACAUUUUUAAUCACAAAACGAAUUUUCUGAGAUAGAGCAAACGAAUUGUUCUUUUGAACGCGAACCUCUGGCAUCUAACGAUGUGGGGGCCGCAGCAAAAGAGCCCACGGAACUGUUUAUCAAAAACACAGGUCUCUGCUAACACGAAAGUGGAUGUAUAGGGGCUGACUCCUGCCCAAUGCUGGAAGGUUAAGGGGAGCGCUUCACGGUGCGAACUGAAGCCCUAGUCAAUGGCGGCGGUAACUAUAACCGUCCUAAGGUAGCGAAAUUCCUUGUCAGGUAAGUUCUGACCCGCACGAAUGGAGUAAUCAUGUGGGCACUGUCUCAGCGAAGGACUCGGUGAAAGUGCAUUGGCGGUAAAGAUGCCGUCUGUCCGUACCAGGACGAAAAGACCCCAUGGAGCUUUACUACAGCUUUACAUUGAAUAUGGUUUCAACAUGUGUAGCAUAGGUGGGAGACUUUGAAGCAGAUACGCCAGUAUUUGUGGAGUCACCAAGUGAAAUACCACCCUUGUUGUGAUUGUGUUCUCACGCUGACCGUUAUCCGGUUAGCGGACCGUGUAUGGUGGGUAGUUUAACUGGGGCGGUUGCCUCCUAAAGAGUAGCGGAGGCGUUCAAAGGU
rnacentral:rRNA from 1 species